GCUGAUAUAGUUUAAAUGGUUAAAACUUACCACUCAUGACGGUAAAAUGAAGGUUCAAUUCCUUCUUUCAGCU
rfam:Hebeloma cylindrosporum h7 unplaced genomic scaffold scaffold_62, whole genome shotgun sequence.